rnacentral:rRNA from 1 species
AGAGUUUGAUCCUGGCUCAGAUUGAACGCUGGCGGCAGGCCUAACACAUGCAAGUCGAGCGGUAGAGAGAAGCUUGCUUUUCUUGAGAGCGGCGGACGGGUGAGUAAUGCCUAGGAAUCUGCCUGGUAGUGGGGGAUAACGUUCGGAAACGGACGCUAAUACCGCAUACGUCCUACGGGAGAAAGCAGGGGACCUUCGGGCCUUGCGCUAUCAGAUGAGCCUAGGUCGGAUUAGCUAGUUGGUGAGGUAAUGGCUCACCAAGGCGACGAUCCGUAACUGGUCUGAGAGGAUGAUCAGUCACACUGGAACUGAGACACGGUCCAGACUCCUACGGGAGGCAGCAGUGGGGAAUAUUGGACAAUGGGCGAAAGCCUGAUCCAGCCAUGCCGCGUGUGUGAAGAAGGUCUUCGGAUUGUAAAGCACUUUAAGUUGGGAGGAAGGGCAGUAAAUUAAUACUUUGCUGUUUUGACGUUACCGACAGAAUAAGCACCGGCUAACUCUGUGCCAGCAGCCGCGGUAAUACAGAGGGUGCAAGCGUUAAUCGGAAUUACUGGGCGUAAAGCGCGCGUAGGUGGUUUGUUAAGUUGGAUGUGAAAUCCCCGGGCUCAACCUGGGAACUGCAUUCAAAACUGACUGACUAGAGUAUGGUAGAGGGUGGUGGAAUUUCCUGUGUAGCGGUGAAAUGCGUAGAUAUAGGAAGGAACACCAGUGGCGAAGGCGACCACCUGGACUAAUACUGACACUGAGGUGCGAAAGCGUGGGGAGCAAACAAGAUUAGAUACCCUGGUAGUCCACGCCGUAAACGAUG